rnacentral:misc_RNA from 1 species
GAUGAAGAAACGUAGCGAAAUGCGAUAAGUAAUGUGAAUUGCAGAAUUCCGUGAAUCAUCGAAUCUUUGAACGCACAUUGCGCCCCCUGGCAUUCCGGGGGGCAUGCCUGUCCGAGCGUCAUUUCUGCCCUCAAGCACGGCUUGUGUGUUGGGUGUGGUCCCCCCGGGGACCUGCCCGAAAGGCAGCGGCGACGUCCGUCUGGUCCUCGAGCGUAUGGGGCUCUGUCACUCGCUCGGGAAGGACCUGCGGGGGUUGGUCACCACUAUAUUUUACCACGGUUGACCUCGGAUCAGGUAGGAGUUACCCGCUGAACUUAAGCAUAUCAAUAAGCGGAGGA